GAUAAACGCUGGCGGCGCACAUAAGACAUGCAAGUUGAACGGACUUAAUCGAAAUAUUUAUAUUUUGAAGCGGUUAGUGGCGGACUGGUGAGUAACGCGUAAGGAACCUGCCUAUUAGAGGGGAAUAACAGUGAGAAAUCAUUGCUAAUACCGCAUAUGCCAUAGAUAUCACAUGAUAACAGUGGGAAAGGAGCAAUCCGCUAAUAGAUGGCCUUGCGUCUGAUUAGAUAGUUGGUGGGGUAACGGCCUACCAAGUCGACGAUCAGUAGCCGGACUGAGAGGUUGAACGGCCACAUUGGGACUGAGAUACGGCCCAGACUCCUACGGGAGGCAGCAGUCGGGAAUAGUGCGCAAUGGAGGAAACUCUGACGCAGUGACGCCGCGUAUAGGAAGAAGGUUUGCGGAUUGUAAACUAUUGUCGUUAGGGAAGAGAAAGGACAGUACCUAAGGAGGAAGCUCCGGCUAACUACGUG
rnacentral:rRNA from 1 species